rnacentral:rRNA from 1 species
GACGAACCGAGCGAACGUUGUUCGGAAUCACUGGGCUUAAAGGGCGCGUAGGCGGGCCGCCGCGUCCGGGGUGAAAUCCCACGGCUCAACCGUGGAACGGCCUCGGAUACGGGCGGCCUCGAGGGGGGUAGGGGCAUGCGGAACUGUGAGUGGAGCGGUGAAAUGCGUUGAUAUUCACAGGAACUCCGGUGGCGAAGGCGGCG